UAUUUCAUGGAGAGUUUGAUCCUGGCUCAGGACGAACGCUGGCGGCGUGCCUAAUACAUGCAAGUCGAGCGGACCGACGGGAG
rnacentral:rRNA from 1 species